AGAACGAACGCUGGCGGCAUGCCUAACACAUGCAAGUCGAACGAAGGCUUCGGCCUUAGUGGCGCACGGGUGAGUAACGCGUGGGAAUCUGCCUAUCAGUGGGGAAUAACGACGGGAAACUGUCGCUAAUACCGCAUACGCCCUUAGGGGGAAAGAUUUAUCGCUGAUAGAUGAGCCCGCGUACGAUUAGCUAGUUGGUGAGGUAAUGGCUCACCAAGGCUACGAUCGUUAGCUGGUCUGAGAGGAUGAUCAGCCACACUGGGACUGAGACACGGCCCCAGACUCCUACGGGAGGCAGCAGUGGGGAAUAUUGGACAAUGGGCGAAAGCCUGAUCCAGCAAUGCCGCGUGAGUGAUGAAGGCCUUAGGGUUGUAAAGCUCUUUCGGGUGGACGAUGAUGACGGUACCACCAGAAGAAGCCCCGGCUAACUUCGCGCCAGCAGCCGC
rnacentral:rRNA from 1 species